GUGCCAGCAGCCGCGGUAAUACGUAGGGUGCAAGCGUUAAUCGGAAUUACUGGGCGUAAAGCGUGCGCAGGCGGUUAUGCAAGACAGAGGUGAAAUCCCCGGGCUCAACCUGGGAACUGCCUUUGUGACUGCAUGGCUAGAGUACGGUAGAGGGGGAUGGAAUUCCGCGUGUAGCAGUGAAAUGCGUAGAUAUGCGGAGGAACACCGAUGGCGAAGGCAAUCCCCUGGACCUGUACUGACGCUCAUGCACGAAAGCGUGGGGAGCAAACAGGAUUAGAUACCCUGGUAGUCC
rnacentral:rRNA from 1 species